rnacentral:rRNA from 1 species
AUUGAACGCUGGCGGCAGGCUUAACACAUGCAAGUCGAGCGGAGAUGAGGUGCUUGCACCUUAUCUUAGCGGCGGACGGGUGAGUAAUGCUUAGGAAUCUGCCUAUUAGUGGGGGACAACAUUCCGAAAGGAAUGCUAAUACCGCAUACGCCCUAAGGGGGAAAGCAGGGGAUCCUCGGACCUUGCGCUAAUAGAUGAGCCUAAGUCGGAUUAGCUAGUUGGUGGGGUAAAGGCCUACCAAGGCGACGAUCUGUAGCGGGUCUGAGAGGAUGAUCCGCCACACUGGGACUGAGACACGGCCCAGACUCCUACGGGAGGCAGCAGUGGGGAAUAUUGGACAAUGGGGGGAACCCUGAUCCAGCCAUGCCGCGUGUGUGAAGAAGGCCUUUUGGUUGUAAAGCACUUUAAGCGAGGAGGAGGCUCUCUUAGUUAAUACCUAGGAAGAGUGGACGUUACUCGCAGAAUAAGCACCGGCUAACUCUGUGCCAGCCGCCGCGGUAACAC